CUCACAGAGUUGCUGUGAAUUGUAUAACCAACUCAGAUCACAGCCAGCUUUGAUGAGCU
rnacentral:pre_miRNA from 1 species